GCUUUGCUUGUCUUCCAAACCAAGUUACUCUCAAACCAAGGUUUUACUGUAUGUAUAUUCAUCUGAAAUAAGCGUUCAUUGACUCAGUUAUAAGGGGUCAUGGGAAUCCGGUAAUCAACUAUUUAUAUCACACAAAACAUGAAGGUGGAAAUAUGUUUGUGAAGUUGUGGAGUUAUACACAGACUGGACACAGAUUUUUAUUCACUGAUCAUAGUUAUGUGUCUUGGUUCUGACCGGACUUAGUUUGCACUAUAUACAUUUUUGACAUUGUAUUCACAAUAUUGUUAAGUUAUAUUUGAUAUAGUGCUGGUAUAUACAGUAUAUACAGUAUAUCAUUUUGUUGAACUAUGAAUGUUUGUCUCCUGGCAUUUAACCUGUGAUCUAGCUGCUCCCCAAGGUACAUUUCUGAAGUUGUGGACAUACCUUGGUUAACCAAUCCUCUGGAUUUGAGAGCAUAUAUAAGACCCAAACAUUUGUCAGUCACAAAUCUUAACACACUGACAGAUUGAGUGAUGGCAUAUUUUCACUUUUUAAUAAGAACAAAAACACAUUGACAUAAGAGGUACAAGACUUUUCCAUCAAGAAUAUGUGUUGAUAUCCCCAUCUUGGGUGUUGGAGAACCGACCAGCUGGUGUUAGGGGUUUUUGCAUGAUCUCUCUUUCUAUUGAAAACCCUGACCAUGGGAUUGGUGUGCUGGGACAGUAACUCCUAAAGGAGAAAGUUUAUUUUUGAUUUUUACCAAGAAAAAAGAAAAAAGAAAAAAGAAAUGGUAGGUCAUCAGAUCUGAACUUCUCAAAAACAAAUAGCAGAUGUGAAUGUGUGAAAAAAGCAUUGCUGUAACUUGCUUGAUUUCCCACUUCCAGUAACUUCAUUUUUUCAAUCUGCUGAGUUUUAAGAACACGAGCCAAAAUGUUGCUCUGUUCCAGCUCUGCUGUUUGCGAUGCUGCUACUGAAUUAGUACAGUUCACUAGCCAUGCUUCUUCUAUAAUAUUGGUUAAUAGAUUUAUUUUCAUUGUUACCUGGAGCUGCUGUUUAGGUGGUCACGACCAUAACAACAUCAUUAUAAAAAGGGAUUGUAAACUGUAAACUUCACAGUACACAGUUUUCACUGCUGCUUUGAAAGGAAGUCCCAAAUCGAUGGGAUACUAAUAAUUAUGUAUCUGGUUUGGUUUUAAAGCAAUUGUUACCAACAAAAAAAGGCCAAAAAUGUAAAGUGUUACUAAACCCGAAACAGUAAAAUCAGUCUUAAAGCAUGCUUGUUAUACUCACUGUGGAACAUAAAGAGUUAAUCCUCUGCAUUGUGUAAGAAAGGCUGUUUGAUACUGUCUUCUCAGAUCCUCCCCCUCUUUCACAGACCCAUUUCCAUCUCCUGAUACUACAGGGCCUUGGGGGCACUCUGCACAUGCUCAGUUUGUUGUGUAUUGCUAGAGAGGUUUUUUUUUUUCUUUUGGAGGAUGCAGAACACAGGGCCAAACAGAAAGUCAGUGGUCACGCAGCCUUAUAGGACAGUCAGAUGAGAAUGAAAACUACUCCUGCAAGCUUUAACUAGUGUUCGUCCAGACACUGAUAGAAGUCACAAGACUGCUAUAAACUGCUGAUGAGAAAAGGUGUUUAGCAGUUUAUUUUUACUAAAAUAAUUGCAUUUCCAUGUUCUGUAUACUGUGGGAGACCCGAUAUAGAGAAGGCAGGGUCCUGGGUUUAGUAACACUUUAAGGGUGAGAUUACGAUCUGAAGUUUGCAAAGCAAAGCAAAAGUUUCUUUGUUUAAUAUUCUCAAGAUACAUAUUAGAAAGUAGCUUCAUGAUUCAAUGUUGGUAAAUAUUACACUCCUCUCAGACACUGCAAAAUUCAGUGUAUCAGUCGUUCUGUUAAAAGCUGGCGUAUGUACAAAACAUCGACACUACUAUAGCAGUGCUUCAUCCUUAUUAGCUAUCACUUUUCAGCAUUGACCAACAAUAGGAGAAAAAAAAAAUUGUAGAAUAAAAUUUACACCGAUUGUCACUUCUUUCAAGGGUGUUGGCCAUUUUGGGGAUGAAGGGGAUGCAAAUAAGCAUCACCCCGGAUGGGAUCAAAUUAGUUUAAAAACAGUCAUACUCUGCCCUUUGAAAGAAGCAACAAUCAGUGUACAUUUUAUUCCGCAAAAUAUUUCUUGCUUUUUGUGCUCACAUAUUUCACAAAAACACAAAAAAAAAGGUGAAAUAGCUACUCAGAAAGCUAUAAGAUAAUAUUUUUGUUUUGUUUUUCAUGUGAAAUUGAUUCGAUCUCAUGAAGAGGGAUACUUCAUCAAAUCUGAGAGUGAUGCAUGGCCUGAAGAAAGGAGAAGAGCUAUUUUGAUAAACAUUGACAGUCUGUAAAUGUUACAUGGCUGAAAAAACUGGGAAUUGAGAUCCAUGCAAACGCUGUGCGAUCUCUGGAUGCUGGAGCAGUGAAGACUUAUAAAGGCUGUGUUUGUAUGCAAGACAACAAACCAAUAGAGUGAAAAUAUACUGUCAGGGCAUCUGCCAUUCUUUAGCAAGUCAUCAGACAUUUAAAGAUUAGUCAGGGCAUUGACAGUGAUUCAUGGCACAUUCUAAUUAACAAAAUAUCAUUGACUGCAGUCCUCAAGUCCUGCAAUUUACCAUCCUUAAAAGUGCUGCAAACCUAGAGUAUUUCAUGUUAUUUUCUAGUAACUAACUAACAAAAUAGGUUUUGAUUUUGAUUUUUACCAAGCCUAUUAUUACUUUUUAUCUUGAUUUUUUGCAUUACACACGUUAUGAGCCAAAUGUAUAUAUUAUUAAAUAAACUUUGUAAUUUUAA